rnacentral:rRNA from 1 species
GACGAACGCUGGCGGCGUGCCUAACACAUGCAAGUCGAGCGAGAGAUUUCGGUCUCUAGCGGCGGACGCGUGAGUAACACGUGGGUAACCUGCCUCAUAGAGGGGGAUAGCCUCCCGAAAGGGAGAUUAAUACCGCAUAACAUGUUUUGAUUGCAUGAUCGAAACAUUAAAGGAGUAAUCCGCUAAGAGAUGGACCCGCGGCGCAUUAGCUAGUUGGAGAGGUAACGGCUCACCAAGGCGACGAUGCGUAGCCGACCUGAGAGGGUGAUCGGCCACAUUGGAGCUGAGAUACGGUCCAGACUCCUACGGGAGGCAGCAGUGGGGAAUAUUGCACAAUGGGCGAAAGCCUGAUGCAGCAACGCCGCGUGAGUGAUGAAGGCCUUCGGGUUGUAAAGCUCUGUCUUUGGGGACGAUAAUGACGGUACCCAAGGAGGAAGCCACGGCUAACUACGUGCCAGCCGCCGCGGUAA